rnacentral:rRNA from 1 species
UAUCUCUGUAGAGUCUGCAUAUCAAUAAGCGGAGGAAAAGAAACUAACUAGGAUUCCCUUAGUAACGGCGAGUGAAGCGGGAAGAGCUCAAAUUUGAAAUCUUCAAGGUUUUACCUUGACGAAUUGUAGUUUAAAGAAGUGUUUUCUGUUGGUGUUUUGGUAAAAGUUCUUUGGAAUAGGACAUCAUAGAGGGUGAGAAUCCCGUAUUUGACCAUUACUUCCAGCGUUGUGAUACACUUUCAAAGAGUCGGAUUGUUUGGGAAUGCAGUCCAAAAUGGGUGGUAAAUUUCAUCUAAAGCUAAAUAUUGGCGAGAGACCGAUAGCGAACAAGUACCGUGAGGGAAAGAUGAAAAGAACUUUGAAAAGAGAGUUAAACAGUACGUGAAAUUGUCAAAAGGGAAGCGUUUGACACCAGUGUUGUUUUCUCGAAAAUCAAUUAAAAAAAGUUGGAUUUUGUAUUGUUAAGACCUUAUCAGCUUACUGUACUCUUUUCUUGCUUUUUUUAAUGCACUUUUCGUUUAACAAGUCAACAUCAAUUUCUUUUGUUGUAAAAGGGUCAUUGGAAGGUGGCUUUCUUUUCGGAGAAAGUGUUUAUAGCCUUUGGCCUCUGCAAUCGGAGAGAUUGAGGUCUGCAGCGUAGAUCCUUCGGGGCUAGAUACAUUAGAUGCUAAGUUAUAGCUUUUUAUAGACAACUUGUUGACUAUGAUUAAGUCAUGUAGCUUACUCGUUAUGCCUAUUUUACCUACGCUUAGGAUGUUGACGAUCAGCUGAGCGC